CGAACGGUGAACUCGCUUCGGCGGGGGAUCAGUGGCGAACGGGUGAGUAACACGUGGGCAACCUGCCCUCGGCUCUGGGAUAACUCCAAGAAAUUGGGGCUAAUACCGGAUAUGACCGCUGACCGCAUGGUCUGGUGGUGGAAAGAUUUAUCGGCUGAGGAUGGGCCCGCGGCCUAUCAGCUUGUUGGUGGGGUCACGGCCUACCAAGGCGACGACGGGUAGCCGGCCUGAGAGGGUGACCGGCCACACUGGGACUGAGACACGGCCCAGACUCCUACGGGAGGCAGCAGUGGGGAAUAUUGCGCAAUGGGCGAAAGCCUGACGCAGCGACGCCGCGUGGGGGAUGACGGCCUUCGGGUUGUAAACCUCUUUCAGCAGGGACGAAGCGAAAGUGACGGUACCUGCAGAAGAAGCACCGGCCAACUACGUGCCAGCAGCCGCGGUAAUACGUAGGGUGCAAGCGUUGUCCGGAAUUAUUGGGCGUAAAGAGCUCGUAGGCGGUUCGUCGCGUCGGCUGUGAAAUCCCGAGGCUCAACCUCGGGUCUGCAGUCGAUACGGGCGGACUUGGGUUCGGCAGGGGAGACUGGAAUUCCUGGUGUAGCGGUGAAAUGCGCAGAUAUCAGGAGGAACACCGGUGG
rnacentral:rRNA from 1 species